CAAUAGCGUAUACUAAUGUUGUUGCAGUUAAAAAGCUCGUAGUUGAACUUCUGGUAGGAGUGUCCCGGCCUUUUUGUUUUUACAAAUUGUAUGCUGUGUGACAUCUCUGGCCAUCCUUCUUCUUUGUUUAAAGAAGAUCUUUCACUGUAAAAAAAUUAGGGUGUUCGAAGCAAAAGUUUCUUUGGAAUAUAUUAGUAUGGGAUGAUAAGAUAGGCUCUAGAUGCUAUUUUGUUGGUUUGCACAUUUAGAGAAUGAUUAACAGGGACAGUUGGGGGUAUUCGUAUUUACAUGUCAGAGGUGAAAUUCUUGGAUUUUGGAAAGACGAACUACUGCGAAAGCAUUUACCAAGGAUGUUUUCAUUAA
rnacentral:rRNA from 1 species